rnacentral:misc_RNA from 1 species
UCAGGAAGCAGGAGCUAGUGCAGAGACC